UACCAGCACCCCGAGUGGUCGGGACGAUUAUUGGGCCUAAAGCAUCCGUAGCCGGUCCUACAAGUCUUCCGUUAAAUCCACCUGCUUAACAGAUGGGCUGCGGAAGAUACUAUAGGGCUAGGAGGCGGGAGAGGCAAGCGGUACUCAUGGUGAGGGGUAAAAUCCUCUGAUCCAUUGAAGACCACCAGUGGCGAAGGCGGCUUGCCAGAACGCGCUCGGACGGUGAGGGAUGAAAGCUGGGGGAGCA
rnacentral:rRNA from 1 species